AAAAACACACAAUUUCAAAUUUUGCUACAUAAAACCGAUUUGUGCUGCUCGGUCACAUAUGACCAUAAAGCACCCUUCUGUGUGUGCUGGUGAAUAAUCUCGCAACAGACACACCCUGUUAUGUCGUCGAGUAACCUAGACAUAUCCACGUCGUGUCAUUUCUCACAAAUAUAACCAGAUCGUCGUCCGUUUCAAGCAAUGCUGUGCUGAUAUAAAAGUGCAUGCAGUUUGCCUGAGAUGGAGUGGAAUAGUUUGCCUUUGGGCGAAUGGACAGAAUCC